rnacentral:tRNA from 1 species
CUCCCGGUGGCCAAGCUGGUUAAGGCGCGAGACUGUAAUGAGUACCCUCAAAGUAAUCUUGAGAUCGGGCGUUCGACUCGCCCCCGGGAGA